ACAUCAGUGAGGUUAUCUUAGUAAUAAGAUGACAGACCAUGAUGAUUGGAUUUUAUGAAUAUGUGAUUAUGUUCUGUAUUUGUUUAGGGUUUGCAACCCCUUUACGAAUCCAGUUUGAU